rnacentral:rRNA from 1 species
UACCAGCACCCCGAGUGGUCGGGACGUUUAUUGGGCCUAAAGCAUCCGUAGCCGGUUCUGCAAGUCUUCCGUUAAAUCCACCUGCUUAACAGAUGGGCUGCGGAAGAUACUAUAGGGCUAGGAGGCGGGAGAGGCAAGCGGUACUCAGUGGGUAGGGGUAAAAUCCUCUGAUCCAUUGAAGACCACCAGUGGCGAAGGCGGCUUGCCAGAACGCGCUCGACGGUGAGGGAUGAAAGCUGGGGGAGCAAACCGG